UUUUUCUUUCACCGGAGCUUGCUCCAUCGAAAGAAAAAGAGUGGCGAACGGGUGAGUAACACGUGGGUAACCUGCCCAUCAGAAGGGGAUAACACUUGGAAACAGGUGCUAAUACCGUAUAACACUAUUUUCCGCAUGGAAGAAAGUUGAAAGGCGCUUUUGCGUCACUGAUGGAUGGACCCGCGGUGCAUUAGCUAGUUGGUGAGGUAACGGCUCACCAAGGCAACGAUGCAUAGCCGACCUGAGAGGGUGAUCGGCCACACUGGGACUGAGACACGGCCCAGACUCCUACGGGAGGCAGCAGUAGGGAAUCUUCGGCAAUGGACGAAAGUCUGACCGAGCAACGCCGCGUGAGUGAAGAAGGUUUUCGGAUCGUAAAACUCUGUUGUUAGAGAAGAACAAGGAUGAGAGUAAAACGUUCAUCCCUUGACGGUAUCUAACCAGAAAGCCACGGCUAACUACGUGCCAGCAGCCGCGGUAAUACGUAGGUGGCAAGCGUUGUCCGGAUUUAUUGGGCGUAAAGCGAGCGCAGGCGGUUUCUUAAGUCUGAUGUGAAAGCCCCCGGCUCAACCCGGGGAGGGUCAUUGGAAACUGGGAGACUUGAGUGCAGAAGAGGAGAGUGGAAUUUCCAUGUGUAGCGGUGAAAUGCGUAGAUAUAUGGAGGAACACCAGUGGCGAAGGCGGCUCUCUGGUCUGUAACUGACGCUGAGGCUCGAAAGCGUGGGGAGCGAACAGGAUUAGAUACCCUGGUAGUCCACGCCGUAAACGAUGAGUGCUAAGUGUUGGAGGGUUUCCGCCCUUCAGUGCUGCAGCAAACGCAUUAAGCACUCCGCCUGGGGAGUACGACCGCAAGGUUGAAACUCAAAGGAAUUGACGGGGGCCCGCACAAGCGGUGGAGCAUGUGGUUUAAUUCGAAGCAACGCGAAGAACCUUACCAGGUCUUGACAUCCUUUGACCACUCUAGAGAUAGAGCUUCCCCUUCGGGGGCAAAGUGACAGGUGGUGCAUGGUUGUCGUCAGCUCGUGUCGUGAGAUGUUGGGUUAAGUCCCGCAACGAGCGCAACCCUUAUUGUUAGUUGCCAUCAUUUAGUUGGGCACUCUAGCGAGACUGCCGGUGACAAACCGGAGGAAGGUGGGGAUGACGUCAAAUCAUCAUGCCC
rnacentral:rRNA from 1 species